GAUGAACGCGGGCGGCGUGCCUAAUACAUGCAAGUCGAGGGAGAGGUUACCUUCGGGUAACCAAAACCGGCGCACGGGUGCGUAACGCGUAUACAAUCUGCCUUUCACAUAGGGAUAGCCCGAAGAAAUUUGGAUUAAUACCUAAUGGUAUAUAAGAGCGGCAUCGUUUUUAUAUUAAAGCUACGGUGGUGAAAGAUGAGUAUGCGUUCUAUUAGCUAGUUGGAGAGGUAACGGCUCCCCAAGGCGACGAUAGAUAGGGGUUCUGAGAGGGAUGUCCCCCACACUGGUACUGAGAUACGGACCAGACUCCUACGGGAGGCAGCAGUGAGGAAUAUUGGACAAUGGUCGGAAGACUGAUCCAGCCAUGCCGCGUGCAGGAUGAAGGUCCUAUGGAUUGUAAACUGCUUUUGUAAGGGAAGAAUAAGGAGUACGUGUACUUUGAUGACGGUACCUUACGAAUAAGCAUCGGCUAACUCCGUGCCAGCAGCCGCGGUAAUACGGAGGAUGCGAGCGUUAUCCGGAAUCAUUGGGUUUAAAGGGUCCGUAGGCGGGCUGAUAAGUCAGAGGUGAAAGCGCUUAGCUCAACUAAGCAACUGCCUUUGAAACUGUCAGUCUUGAAUGAUUGUGAAGUAGUUGGAAUGUGUAGUGUAGCGGUGAAAUGCUUAGAUAUUACACAGAACACCGAUAGCGAAGGCAUAUUACUAACAAUUUAUUGACGCUGAUGGACGAAAGCGUGGGGAGCGAACAGG
rnacentral:rRNA from 1 species